GGGGGGAGCAAGCGUUGUUCGGAUUUACUGGGCGUAAAGGGCGCGUAGGCGGUCAGCACAAGUCAGUUGUGAAAUCUCCGAGCUUAACUCGGAAAGGUCAACUGAUACUGUGCGACUAGAGUGCGGAAGGGGCAACUGGAAUUCUUGGUGUAGCGGUGAAAUGCGUAGAUAUCAAGAGGAACACCUGCGGCGAAGGCGGGUUGCUGGGCCGACACUGACGCUGAAGUGCGAAAGCCGGGGGAGCGAACGGGAUUAGAUACCCCGGUAGUCCUGGCCUUAAACGAUGUCAACUAGCCGUUGGGAGCCUUGAGCUCUUAGUGGCGCAGCUAACGCAUUAAGUUGACCGCCUGGGGAGUACGGCCGCAAGGUUA
rnacentral:rRNA from 1 species